rnacentral:rRNA from 1 species
UACGUAGGGUGCGAGCGUUAAUCGGAAUUCUGGGCGUAAAGCGUGCGCAGGCGGUUCGUUGUGGUCGGCGGUGAAAGCCUCGGGCUCAACCUGGGAAUGGCAAUGGAUACUGGCAGGCUAGAGUGCGGUAGAGGUAGUGGAAUUCCGGUGUAGCGGUGAAAUGCGUAGAUAUGCGGAGGAACACCGAUGGCGAAGGCAUCCCCUGGGCCUGCACUGGACGUCGAUGCACGAAAGCGUGGGGAGCAAACAGG